rnacentral:lncRNA from 1 species
UGGCACCAUGUAAAUUGCUGUGGCGCAUUACAUAAGCAUAACAUAAUAUUGGUCUAACUGUGUAAGCAUAACAUAACUUCAAAAAUAUAUCAAGAUAUAUGUUUAUGUAUCUGGUUUUCUACUUGCAACCAAAUGUUUUACAAACAAAACUGGUUCGACAGAUUAAAGUUUAAACUGGUUGAAACAAGAACUGGAAAACUUGUUGAUUGAUUUGAUCCUAGUUGUAUGCUAGUCUCAUUGAAUUAGAGUUAAACCGAUUUGAACCUAUUGAACAACAUUUGAAUCGGGGUUAGUUGAACUAGCUACAAGUGUCACCAGAUUGACCCAAAUUGUAUCGUAGUUUAUUUGUAUCUGUUUCUACUGUGUUCAAUCGAUUGAACCAUGGCCUAGCUACAUGUCUUACUAGUUUGAUCUGUGGUCCAGUUUUUAAAAGAUAGCAUUCAACUAAUACAGAUAAUUGUUCAUGCAGGAAAGAACAAGUCCAAGUCAAAAACAAGGGCCGUCUUGAUUGUUGUUCUUGUCACCGGGUCAACACUUCUGUUUUGUUUGGGCUGCUAUUUUGUCAUGAGAAGAUCAAGCUGGAGGAAAUAUAAAACUCUUAUGAGAGAAAAUUGUAAGUUAAAAAAUGGCUUUCCUAUUCUUAAUAAAUAAAUGGUCUUUUGCAUAUAAAAAUUCUUAAAAGCUUUAAGAGAAGACAUUUAGCUCGCUUAUGUUUAAAAUUCAUGUAUAUUUAUCCUUCCAGUUGGUAAUGAAAGUUCCACGUUAGAAUCGCUACAAUAUAAUUUGGCGACCAUCGAGGCAGCCACAAAGAAAUUUUCACCUGAGAAUAAAAUAGGCAAGGGAGGAUUUGGAGAAGUUUACAAGGUAACAAAUCAUAAGCAAAAGUGAAAGUGUUGUGCAUUUAUGCUUUUUUGUUUCUCAGUUAAUGGAUUGGUUACAAUUUCAGGGUAUUCUUGUAGAUGGAAGGGAAAUAGCUGUAAAGAAGCUAUCUCAAACUUCAGGACAAGGUGCAGCAGAGUUCAAAAAUGAGGUUUUACUAAUAGCCAAACUUCAACAUAGAAAUUUGGUGACCUUAAUAGGUUUUUGCUUGAAAGAGCAAGAGAAAAUGCUGAUUUAUGAAUACGUGUCCAACAAAAGUCUCGAUUACUUUUUAUUUGGUAAUGAACCUGUCUGUCUCUUUUCAUCUUUGAGUUUAAAAUUGUGUUGUACAAAAAUGUUCAAUACUUUUCUGAUUUGAAUGAAUGUUUUGAUGACUUAUUUAUAGAUCGCAACAAGUCCAGACUAUUACACUGGUUUGAACGAUACAAAAUCAUAGAAGGAAUUGCACAUGGAAUACAUUAUCUGCAUGAUCAUUCAAGAUUGAAGAUUAUUCAUCGUGAUCUCAAACCUAGCAAUGUAUUGUUAGAUGAUAAUAUGAAUCCUAAAAUAUCUGAUUUUGGCAUGGCAAGAAUGGUGGCUCUAGAUCAAGAUCGAGGAAGUACAAAUAGAAUUGUUGGAACAUAGUAAGUAGUUUUGAAUUUUUAUUGUCUUAUAUUCACCUUCUCUUCUCUAAUUGUUGGAAUGCAGUAAGUAGUUUAGACUUUAUCUUCAUUUGACAACAAGUUCUGUGAGAUUUAAUUUUCACUACUUUAAUACAUGUUCAUCUUUUUAUCUUUCUCAAUCAAGUUAUAAUGUUCUACAUUAAAUAUUGAUUAUUUUUUUUAUUUUUUUUAUAGUGGCUAUAUGUCUCAGGAAUAUGCAAUGCAUGGCCAAUUUUCAGAAAAAUCAGAUGUCUUCAGUUUUGGAGUCAUAAUUUUGGAGAUAAUUAGUUCAAAAAAGAAUGCUCGUUCUCUUUUAUCAAAUAACACUGAUGACCUCUUGAGUCGUGUACGUAUUUAUUUUUCAUAAUUCAUUUAUUUUUGUUGAUCAAAGGAAACAUAAAGAGGAUGAAUAUAAUUCAAAUAUCUAAUUCAUCAAAUUGUUGCAGGCUUGGAGACAAUGGAGGGAUCAAACACCAUUAGAACUAAUAGACAAAGAUAUAAAAGAAUCAUGCAAUCCUAACGAAGCCAUUAAAUGCAUUCAAAUUGGUUUAUUAUGUGUUCAAGAAAAACCUGAUGAUAGACCUUCAAUGGCAAAUGUUGUUUCGUAUCUCACUAGCCCAUCAGCUGAGUUGCCGAUUCCUGGAGAACCAACUAAGCCUAUGCAUAGUGGAUUACUGCAAACAGCGGUAGCAGGGGAACUGAGUUCAACUUCUACAUCAACAGUCAAUGAAAUGUCUUCAUCAGUUGUACCAAGUUCUACAUUCUCGGACAAAGUUUAGAAGUUAGAAAUCAUGUAAUUUAUUUCUUCCAAAUUUGUUUAUAUAUUGCAUAUAUGAUAUAUCAUGUGCUCUACAUAUUUAAAUUGAGCUACAAUGAUUUUAAAAUGUUGAUAAUUCAAGUGAUCUUGAAGCCUACAUGGUUUACAAAGACAAUGACAAAGAUCAUAAUUUCUAAAGAUAUACUAUUUGACUAAAUCAAUAACAGUUGACUAGAAACCCAAUUAAGAUCUGCACAUGAAAGUGAAAGAAGAUGGGGUGAUGAUGGACUAACAGUUUACAUCUUGGAUAAUUUCUUAGCAAUAGUCACAUUCCUUUGAAAACAUUCCUUUUAAGAGUGGAAACCUAAUUUCCACUAUGUAAGAAAGUUUGUACCUUUGGAGUUUGGAGGAUGAGAGCAAUGUUGAAUGCGAAUUGAGUUGAGUGAGGAACAUAUGAGUCCCCAAGCGUUGAACGAACCAAGAUUUGCAAACCAGCAUCGCACCGCCCCAUUCAUCAGGCAGGAAGAUUCAGUUCUUUCCACCAAUAUUGUGUCUGAUUUUUUUUUUUUU